ACUUGGAAGGGACCCAGUAAGGGAUCUGUUGCGCCACAGGGGUCUCCAGGGCCCUCGCAGGUUGGGGUGGUCUGAGCUAGUCUGAAGGAGGACAGUCAGCUGACUUCUCCUUUAUCUCUCUUUCCCAGGAUAGCAGGUUCCCUUGGUGUAUUACAGUUUCUGAAGUGUUGAUUCCCUUUUCAAUUGAUUCCACAGAUGACAGUCCUGACGUUUAAAAAAUUGCCAGAUAACCUUUAAUUUUUUUUUUUUUAACAGAACACAAACUUAAGCCAGAUUGCCUAGGAUUGAACCUUGGCCUCUCACUUCCUAGACGAGUGGCCUUGGCUAGUUAACCACCUUCGUGAGCCUCAGUUUUGUCAUCUGUAAAAUGGGAGUCAUAAGUGUCUACCUCACAGAGCUGUGAUUGAAAGGAUAAAUAGCACCUUGCACAUAGCGGUGUAGAAGUGCUUGUUAUUGUUAAUAUUUUAUUUACCUUCACGCAGCCUACAGUGGCGGAAGUGGAGUAAGACAUCAUGUUGCCUCAAGUUUAAUUGGAAAUCGCGUGCCUUGUGAAGAAUGGACACUCAGUAGAUGCUUAUUGAUGAACCUGUUGGUUGAGGAUAACUCGCUAACUUUUCUGAGCUUUGUUGGAAAAACUAGACAGGGGUCUCACUAUGUGAUGCAGGAUGAUCUCAAACUCCCUGGCCUCAAGCGAUCCUCCUGCCUUGGUCUCCUAAAGUGCUGGGAUUACAGCAGGUCACUGUAUCUCUAUGCAUUACAGAAAAUGGCUAGUUAAAAACUUGUCAAGGCCAGUUGCAGGCAUGAUACCAGCAGUCUGGGAGGUAGAGACAAGAGGACACAUCUCUGCUGCUCCCUUCUUUCCCCAUGGUUAUGCGCCAACUUUGGUUUCACCAGGCCUACAGUGCUUCCCAGGUUUGGAGUGUGGGGAAGGAGAAGAUUUAAUGGAAGCAGCUUAAGGGAAAUGCUCAAACUAAACUGAUACUUUCUUCAUGAUCUAGCAUUGAAACUUUCUGGACUUGACAGAUAUUUAAAAUUAACUCUUUUUCUCAUUAACAUUUUCAUGGGUUCUUCCAAGAUCCACAUUACCCAACCUGUGGGUUCCCAUGACAAGGAUUAAGGCAUCUCUGUUUCUUCUGGACCUUUAUUUACCUGGAUUCUUUCUCUAGGGACUGUUUACCCUUAUGGGCCAUCCUUUUGAGCAUAACCUAACAAGAUUCAUGCUGGCUUUAAGUGAGUGGUCCACAUUUGGUUCAUGGGAAAACCACAUAGUUUGUCCCCAGCAAACCUGGAAGUAAUAUUUAUUUUACUGCUGGAAUUAAGGAAAACCAAAAAUCCUAUUACAAAAUGGCUCCUCUAAACAUUCACAUUACCCCUUUUUGUCUCUACCCCCUGAGGAACUAACCAACUCUAGCUCUUUGGAUUUUCCAAAUGAGAGGUCAACACAUCGAUGUCUCCAAGACCUUAAGUUCUUCUAGUGGUCUCUUUAAGCUUCCUCCCUUGAAUUAUGGUGAAAAGGGACUGCCUGCUACCCCCUCCUCUUGAGGAGAGGGGUGGUAUCACAGCCUAACAAUAAUUUCCAAAAAUUUUCUCCUCCAGCUCUAAUGCUUAACCAGUUUAGACUUUCAAAGUGGAUAAUGUAAUUUAAAGCCUUACAGCUAGUUAUGCUCUACUUCUUCUAUAAGUCCUGCAACCAGGUGGUCUCAAUCCUCACUUGCGAAUACUGCAUUUACUCACCUUGUGCCCUAGCCAAAACUUCCACAACAAAUUCUGUGGUGCAUUUAAGUGAAAGAUGUUAUUUGAUUGAUAGAGAGAUAGAUAGAUAGAUACAGAUAUAGAUAUAGAUAUGUAUUAGAACCAUGUCAAAUGGUUAACUUUUUUAAAAAGGUAAAUUUUUUAUAUUGAGAUAAUUAUAGAUUCUCAUACACUCGUAAGAAAUAACACAGAAAGAUCCCAUGUAGCCUUUAUCCAGUUUCCCCAGUGAUAAUAUCUUGCAAAACUAUAGUCCAAUAUCACAACCAAGAUACUGGCAUUGAUAGAUCACUUCCAUCACCACAAACAUCCCUCAUGUUGCCCUUUUAUAGCCACACUCAUUUCCCUCCUGCUGCCACCCUCUCCUUUACCCAUAACCACUUAUCUGUUCUCUAUUUUUGUAAUUUUAUCAUUUCAAGAAUACUGUAGAAAUGGAAUAAUACAGUAUGUAUUUUAGGGCUUAUCUUUUCUACACUCGGCAUGAUUCUCUGGAGAUUCAUCCAGGUUGUUGCAUGUAUCAAUAGUUCAUUCCUUUUUUACUGCUGAACAGUAUUCCAUUGUAUGUAUGUACCAUAGUUUAACUAUUUGCUCAAUGAAAGACAUAUAUUAAUAGUUUCCAGUUUUUGCUGUUAUGAAUAAA
ensembl:lncRNA METTL14-DT METTL14 divergent transcript